CAGAAAGUUAUCUACAGCCACACAUCCACUGUAUACCAAGUUAUGAUGAUCAAUUAUGAAAAUGCAAAAGGAUUGAUAGAUCAGUAAACAAGCAACAAAAAGAUGGGUGCUCAUGGUGGCCUCCAAAUAAAUACAUGGACAGGCUGCUAAAGAGGGUCAGGAUGAUGGCGAUGCAAGAGCCAAAGACAGCACAGACCAAACACCAGGCCAGAAUUCUGCAUGAGUCAGAUUGAGUAAUUUUCACUCCAGAGACCCUGGGGUGACCACCAAGGACGAAUGCAAACUCCAGUGAGUGUCUUUUAAGAGCUAUCCCCUGAGUUUCUUUGUCUUCCAGCUACAAAAGUCCCAAAGGCUCUUUAAAGAGCUAUUCCCUGAGGGUCUUUGCCUUCAUUAACUACAUACGGUCCCUUGGGGGAGCCAACCCAGGAGCUGCUGUACACAAAAUUUUGCGUAAAUUGGCCUCCACUGAAGUCCUGAGUGCCUACAGCAUGAAAGGGAGGAAGGGGGUGGUGAACGUCGGUCCUGGAGGUCACAGACCUGCAGAGUUUUGCUCCAGCUCUAAUCAAACACCCUUGAACAGGCUAAUCAAGGUCUAAAGAGUUACUAGAAAGCUAUGGGUUUAAUCAGGAUUUGAGCUAAAAUCUCAGGACUGCACUCUUCAGGACCGACGUUCGCCCCCCUGGUUUAUUUGAAUCUACACAGAAAAACUACAAGGCGUUAAAGGCGCUUGAGAUGGGAGAGACUGCCGUGGAGUUCCGAAGUUCAUCGUUUUAUAUUAAAAUGUUUUUAUGGUACAACGUUCUACAUGUUUUAUUGCUAAUUUUGUAUUAUGUUUAUAUAAUCAAAUUAUCUACACUAUUAUAUUAUUAUCUAACUCUAUAAACUCCAUAAAUGUUAUUGUGAUUAAUGAUUUUGAUUUUAUGUCUACGAAUAAAGAAUGGAUCAACAUGGAUUGUGUGAUUAUUUGUUCAUUUAAAUAGAUUAUACAUGAAUAAACUUAGUUUAUAUAGUGAAAUAGUUUAUUUAUAAUGAUUUAAUUGUGAAUUUUUAUUAUAAAUGGUGCCAAAAUAUAGGGAAUAACUAGAGGUUUGGAGAACGUCCUGAGAACCUUCCGGGAACGUUCUGGCAAGGUUCUGCAAACGUUCUGAGCAGGUUAGAUUGAUGU